rnacentral:rRNA from 1 species
GAUGAACGCUGGCGGCGUGCCUAAUACAUGCAAGUCGAACGCUGGAACUCUAGCUUGCUAGAUUGAAGGAGUGGCGAACGGGUGAGUAAUACAUAAGCAACCUACCCACGAAGACUGGGAUAAUCUCUGGAAACGGGGACUAAUACCGGAUAGGUAAUCGGAAGGCAUCUUCUGAUUAUUAAAGGUUAAAAACACUGGUGGAUGGGCUUAUGGCGCAUUAGUUAGUUGGUGAGGUAACGGCCCACCAAGACGAUGAUGCGUAGCCGGCCUGAGAGGGUGAACGGCCACAUUGGGACUGAGACACGGCCCAGACUCCUACGGGAGGCAGCAGUAGGGAAUUUUCGGCAAUGGGGGAAACCCUGACCGAGCAACGUCGCGUGAGUGAUGACGGCCUUCGGGUUGUAAAGCUCUGUUGUAAGGGAAGAACGGUAGAUAGAGAAUAUCUAAAUGACGGUACCUUACCAGAAAGCCACGGCUAACUACGUG